GGGAGCUGGUACAGGCCAUGUGGGGGCAGGGAGGAAGGUCCAGAGGCCCAGGAAAGCCAAGAAGAGCAAAGGCAGGGCAGGGGUCAGGGUCCCCUCCGUGGCCUCAGUUUCCCCAUCUGUAAAGGGGGAAGAGGCAAGGACCUCAAGCUCUUCCCCCCCAGCUCUAAUCCAAACUGGAAUCUGGGUGAGGGCCAGGGAUGGCAGAAGCAUGUGAGAUCUGGGAGUCAGUGUGAUGGGACACCACACAGCGCAAGAAAGAAUAUGGAAGCUCUUAACGCACUGAUAAGGGAAGAUCUGGGCCAACAUCUUACUAAGUGGACAGCAGUGUGCCUCUGUGUGUGGAAAGUAGAGGAAAGACAGUGAAUUUGCUGGCAUUUGCCUAGAGAAGGAUUCACAAGAAUUAAUAACCGGGCAUCCUGGGUGGGGCAGGGACACUUUCCCAGCCCACCCUGCAGCCAGAGAGGAAGCUCCUAGCCCUUUCUGCAGAGAACUGUCAAAUUCCUCCUUUACAGCCCCCACGCCUCCUCAAGUCAGGCAACCUCAGAGCUAGACUUUGACCCAGCCAAAGCUUGGAGUUGAUUCCCCAGCCUAGAUGAAGGACCUGGGGCUGGAACUCGCUGGGCAACGGUGCCAAUCCUGCCUCUCUCUGGGCCACAGAUACCGAGUGUAAGGUGCAUAAACUGAGCCACAGAGGGAUUAAGUACUGGCUCCUGGUCAUACAGCUAAGAGGAAGAGCAGGAUUUGGACCUAAGACGUCUGGCCCCAAUCUAUUCUAACCAUUACACCAACACAGCUGGACGUAGGAUCAAACGUGAGCACUCAGGCUGCGUCCGGCACUCCGGGUGACCCGGCUCUUGCUGACACACCAGCAUCAGGCCAAAUUUGCCUGCCUCCCCACCUGUGUCACACUCUGGCUGCAUGAUGCUCUGGCCAUAGUGGUUCCUCCAGCCCUGCGAGCUCCUUCCUCCCUCCAAGGGCCUGUACCUUCCCGGAAAAGAGCAGUCAGCAAUCGGGGCCUUCCCACCACUCUAACACAUCGUCUUCCUCAUCAAGUAGGGCCCAGCCCAGCUCUACAGGCCCCUGGUAGGGGACAUCGCCUGCUCACUGGAGCCUCAAGGUGGGGUGCUCCAUCAUCCUAGCUCCUUCGGGAGACCUGGCCCCACCAGGGUUUGUCCCUGCCCAGGGAGCCUGGCUGGGUUGAACUUCUGAGCCUGAGGAGAAACUGAAGGGAGAGGCUUGUCCUGCUCUCAACACCCCCACCAGGGCCCCCCUGCCCCAAACAGCGAUUCUCUGAGUCCUAGUCACAUGGAAGUAUACGAGGGGAGACGCGGAUCAAGAGAGAGAUAUGCCCCCACUUCACUUAUAUCAACAAGGUUCCAAACUGGCCUGUUUCAUAGUUCAGUGUCAAGAUUCCUCCAGAAGAAAG